UACGGAGGGGGCUAGCGUUGUUCGGAAUUACUGGGCGUAAAGCGCACGUAGGCGGCUUUGUAAGUUAGAGGUGAAAGCCCGGAGCUCAACUCCGGAAUUGCCUUUAAGACUGCAUCGCUCGAAUCAUGGAGAGGUGAGUGGAAUUCCGAGUGUAGAGGUGAAAUGCGUAGAUAUUGGGAGGAACACCAGUGGCGAAGGCGGCUCACUGGACCGGUACUGACGCUGAAGCGCGAAAGCGUGGGGAGCAAACGGG
rnacentral:rRNA from 1 species